rnacentral:rRNA from 1 species
UACGGAGGAUGCAAGCGUUAUCCGGAAUGAUUGGGCGUAAAGCGUCCGCAGGUGGCUGUGUAAGUCUGCUGUCAAAGAGCGAAGCUCAACUUCGUAAAGGCAGUGGAAACUACACGGCUAGAGUGCGUUCGGGGCAGAGGGAAUUCCUGGUGUAGCGGUGAAAUGCGUAGAGAUCAGGAAGAACACCGGUGGCGAAAGCGCUCUGCUAGGCCGCAACUGACACUCAUGGACGAAAGCUAGGGGAGCGAACAGG